AUCUGUGUUACAGGUGCACUUGUGCCUGAUCUCCCAUCGCCUGGGUAGCCAACACAGCUGCUUCUCCCAGUGUUAUUGAAGGACAGGAACCAAAGAAUGUACUUUCCAAAUGAAUGUUCACCCAGAAAUCUGUGAGGCAGAAGGUGCCUUCAGGAAUAGCACUCAGUCCUUGCACCACAGUCCUGAGCAGCAAAUGGUUCUACGGACUUCAGGAGGAGGCAAAUGAACUUCAAGCUGAGUUGCAGAGUGGAAGGUGCCAUCAAUCCCUUUGCAUUAGGGGCAGCAGUUUCCUCCUUCCCAACACGUAUUUUGGAAAGUGCAGCACAGUUGGCCUCUUCAUUCUUUUCCAAUCAAGCUCUGCCUAUUAAGGAAUCCCAAAUAAAAAGAAACAGAGAAGUCCAGCAACAUGAGAUGGCAUCCACAGGGAAAACAGAGCUGAGUGAAUUGUGGCAGGGUUACUUUAAAGCAUGGCCUUCCCUGGAACAUCCUCCACCUGACUCAAUGUGAGCCCAAGACUUGCAGGUGCCUUUUAACUAUCCACAGAGUAAACCCAGCUCUGCCAGGCUGUGCUGCACCAGGGUCCCUCCUGCCCCAUGGGGGAGAGCAGCAGGAUGGGGCAGAGAAGGCAGAGCCUGCUGGUGCUCUCAGGGCCCUGACCACACUCCCAUUUCAAGACAC
rnacentral:lncRNA from 1 species